rnacentral:rRNA from 1 species
GACGAACGCUGGCGGCGCGCUUAACACAUGCAAGUCGAACGGAAAGGCCUGCUUUCCUUUGUGGAUUGCGGGUACUCGAGUGGCGAACGGGUGAGUAACACGUGAGUGAUCUGCCCCCAACUUGGGUAUAAGCCUGGGAAACUGGGUCUAAUUCCCGAUAGGACUGCAGGGUGGUGCCUGUGGUGGAAAACGAUUUUCUAGUGGUUGGGGAUGAGCUCGCGGCCUAUCAGCUUGUUGGUGGGGUAAUGGCCUACCAAGGCGGCGACGGGUAGCCGGCCUGAGAGGGUGGACGGCCACAUUGGGACUGAGAUACGGCCCAGACUCCUACGGGAGGCAGCAGUGGGGAAUAUUGCACAAUGGGCGGAAGCCUGAUGCAGCGACGCCGCGUGGGGGAUGACGGCCUUCGGGUUGUAAACUCCUUUCGACCGCGAGGAAGCCACCUGGUUGGAAGGGUGGUGACGGUAGUGGUAGAAGAAGCACCGGCUAACUACGUG